rnacentral:lncRNA from 1 species
UACAAUGCUCUAUGAUUUUAGUUUUCUAACAGUACUGCCAAAUCUAUGUUGUACAAUCCACUUACUUAACAAACAUUAUUAUUAAGAUUUAUGCGUUAUUCCAAUAACUCAUAUAUAACUUACCAUUACAACGGAGCAAAGCUAAAAGAUUUCAUUAUAAUUAUAUAUAUGAACUCCUUUGGCAUUACUAAUUAUCAAUAAGCUCUCGCACACUUCGGGGCAUAGGUGCAGCCAUAUCGGUGAAGACAAGCGAUCUGGCGAUGAUGACAAUUGUUGUAAUUUCAACAUUUGUUGCAUGGAAUGAGAUUACUGUAAUGCAAGAUAUGUGGUUUCUUGCGGGUGGAUUCAGACCCCAACUUCAUCUCCUCAUUAACGUCAAUGAAAUGUCCACUAUUUUUAGACUCGAGAUCAACAGAAUUUGUAUUGUCAUGUCCUAAUGAUGGUUGAAUCAACAUAACCAAGCAUAGGAGAAAAAGAAAAAGUAACACCAGACGUGAAAUCAUAUUGUGAGAGUCAAUAGUGACACACACAACAAAGAUAAAAAGGAAGGAACUUUGAUGAGGAGAUGAAGUUGUGAGAGUCCCCUAUAUAUAGGGGACUUUGUUUGUGGAGGCAAAGCUCAUGGGAAGAGGAGACUAAGAGCAUAUGAGCAACGUGUAUGGAUUUUGUGAUAAAAAAAACAUCAAACAUGCAGUCUAGGUUUUUCCUUGACUUUUGUGACAAUGUAGAAAUCAAAACUUUAUAGUUUUUGUUUGGAAACUAACUAAAUUAUUGGAAUAAAUGAUUUCUUGAGAACUAAGUGAUAUCUUCAAUUCUACCUAAAUAUUUUUUUGAGGUUAGUUUUUUAAACAAUUUCAAUGAAAAUCAAAAUUAUAUCUUUCAUUUUAUAGUUUAUUUCAAAUUGUUAUCAAUGAUAUUUAAUUUUUUCUCUCUCUUUCUAUUAACCUUUUAAGACUUUUUAUAUACUUUUUAAAUGAGAGCAUUCCAUUUAGAUUGAAAAAAAAAAAUAUCAGUGAUAAAUUUGUUAAGUUGUACAUAAAAUUAUGAAACGUAACUUAUUUCUUUAAAAAAUUGCGUUUAUUGGAAUAUGAUUGUGAAUGCCUUGUUUGUUUACAAAUAAUCAAGAAAUGAGCACUGUGAGGCUCUAUUUUUUUAUGACUUUAAUUUUCCCUAGUUUAAUUAUGACUACGUGGUUCCAACCAAAUUCAAGAGCUAACCAUAAAUGUUUAUCGAUUGAUUUGAGAAAAAUCAUCAUUAAAGGUUUUCCAACAUUCAUAGUUUGUGAGAUGCAAUCUUCAUCUCAGGGUACCUUCGCAAAAGAGCCAACACAAAUAUUGGCCAUUUGAUUUAGUGGUGUUGACGUCAAAAUUAGCAAGGCUAAUCUUAAGCCAACUUUAAGAAAAAUGGGAAUUUAUUGUUGAAAAAGACUACAAAAUACGUUGAGAAAGUGUAAUGGUAUCAUAAGCUUUUACAUGAAUUCGCUCUUUUUUUACAAGAGUUCUACUCAACUAUUUAUACAUAGUUUCAGCCGAAAUCACAUCAAAUCAGUCAAAUCAACUACAGUACCGAGCUCGAAACUCGGGUCGCCGAAUUCUCCUGUGAUUGGUUGACGAGAUCGGUGGCCAUACGUCAAUGUUUUUCUCAGGUAAUGAUGACCUGCAAGAGGCUUGAGGAUCAGGUCUUCGGAUUGGCGGUUGUGGACGGUGAUGACGUCACUUGUGGCAAGUGUAUAUGAUUGAUAGGGUGAUUUGAUAGGAAGUAAUCAUGAUAUUUUUCUGAGAUAACGACGGGCGAGUCCGAGCUGGGAGCAGUGACCAAAAUCACACUUGCCUGAAGUGGAUUUAGCUAAUUGUUUUUGUUAGAUUGGAGUUCGGUUGUCAACAGUCACCCCUAGGUCUGUUUUGUCGUAGGAGGAAGCAGACCUUUUUACCCAAUUGGUUCUCUUUUCAAGAAAUAUAAUUAUCACGGUGCCAAGUGUCCCGUUUGGACAGGGAUGAGCUGUUAAGCACUUUUAGGUUGCUUCUCUAGGAAGUUUUGCCAUAAAACUACGUCAUUUUAACUUGCAGGUUUCUGGGCCGUUUGAUAUUUCCCUCCAGUUUUUGAAUGGGCGGCCCAGACUGAAACCCUCUAACUUCCCAUCUCUUAAAUUCCUUUUGGCUUUUCAUUUUAUUCUUUUGCUUUGCACGAUUAUUCUCUCAAAAACAAUAGGUGAUUUUUCGAGUUUUUUUUAUUUUCAUAUCCCGAUUGAGGUCAACGUUCUUCAGUUCUCAGGUAUUCCUUUGCUUCCUCUUACUUUCUGUUAGUGCUCUUCAUUCAGCCCAUACAUGAGCUCAGACGAAUCUUGGGUACAUUCGUGGGGAAACCAGCAAGAAGAGUCCAUCCCUUCCAGUCCUAGUUCUUCAUCCAGCUGUCGAGAAAUUUUAACUCCCGUCCCGAUUUCUGUAGUUAACUCGAUGGACUUGGAGCGUCCUAUGAGUCAGGAGGAGAGGAGGUUGGUUCUCAUGGGGGGAAUGAGGAUAAUAGUCCAAAUGAGUGGGGGGCUAGCUCAUAUAAUUCAAUUGUUACAGGUGACAUGUUGGCUUGCUAAAGGGCUAUGUAUGCCAUUCCGAGCUUAGUAGUUGUGAUAAUACUAGAGCCAUCUGACUGAGCUGAUAUUCCCCCAGAGGGAUGUGUUGCUCUAAACUCGACUAUUCUUUAGGCCGGACUUAGGCUUCCAUUCCCUAGAGUGAUCUGUAAAUUUCUAUCUAUCUGGGGCGUAGCUUCCACACAGUUGUGCCCUAAUGGGUGGCGAACCCUAAUUGCCACCCUUAUCCUUUGGGACAAGAUGGGGAACUCCGAACUGAGCGUUAAGCAAUUUGAUUCCCUUUUUACCUUUAAAGAUGAUGGGAAGAACUCUAGCUGGUGGUAUACCAACGUUAGGCGAAGGACGGGGGGUUCACUAGUGUUAGAUACUCCUUCCUCAAUCAAAAAAUGGAAAGAAGAGUUCUUUUACGUGUUUGGGGAGUGGCAAUUCUAUCCUUCCGAGGUGAAUAGAGAGGAUGUGGUUUCCCAGCUGUACCACUCUUUGUGUAAGUUAUUUAUGAUCUGAUCUUUUGACGAGAUGAGCAUUAAUGUAGUACUGACCUUUGCCCUAUUUGCAGAUUACAAGAAAGAGACCCUAACCAAGGACAUGCAGCGACGAGCUGAGGUGAUAAGGGCAUUGCCAAAAAGGCAGAGGUCUUGUAAGUUUGUGAUUUUGGAUUCGAAUUUGUUCCAAGCAAGCUUGGUACAAGUUCGAACAUCCAAUCCAUCCAUUCCUAGGGUGUCUACUUCAAACCCGUCUGACCCAAGUAAUAGCUGAACUUACUGUUUGUUAUUAACGAUAUUAUUAUUAUUAUAACACACUAAGCACUUUUUUUUUAGGUCGUCGUGCCGAGAUGUUGGGUUAUAAAGCAGCCAAGGCAGCAGCUGCUGCUAAAGGGAAAAAGAGGGAGGCCCUUGUAGUGGUGGAAAGUCAUUCAGAGGGGACUGAGAAGGAAACUCAACCUCUUAAGAGGAACCUGUCACUGACGCCAGGCGCACCUCUGCCGCCAAUGACUACGACUCUGACUGCUUCUUCCUCGAGAUCUUCCCCAGUAGUUUUCCCUUCCAGCUCAAUACCGGUUGCCAUUCCGAUGUCGAAGCUACCGACGAUAACAAUGUCAUCCUCCCCACCCCGAGUGUACCAGUGGCCGUAUCAACCAGCUCAAUGAGGUCACAAGAUCAAUUUCCAGACCUGUAGCAGUCGAGCUUGGAAAGUUUAAUGGGCCAUCAGCCAGAAAUCUUCCUGGAUUUUCUACGAGACCCUUCUCCUUCGAGGGAGACUGUGGCGGCCUUUCCUCCGCCCUCCGUAAAUCUGAAAAUCUUCUUAUGAGGAGCUGGGGGAUAAAACGCAGCACUUUCUGGCAGAAAUGCCUAUUGGGAAGGCCGUGGCCAUCGCCCAGCUCCAUAGCCACCGUUCCAUAUUAUACAUGACGUUGGUGGCUGAUAAGGUACUUCUUCUGAAAUUUGUGCUUUGUAGGCUCGUAACUUCUCGUAUUUAACUUCAUUUGUUAACUUAUAUUUUAUUAUUUAGAUAAAAGCCGAUCUUGAUAAGUUGUUGGAGGCUAUGGACCGAAGGCACAUUUCCUCGGGUUUAACUUCAUUCCAUACUUUCUUAAGAUAUCGAACAUCUCAGCCAAGUGCCGACAGUGGUCUUUGGCCUUGGUGCUUUUUACCAACAUGUCAUCAACAUACACUUUCAUUAUUUUUUCGAUCUACUAGGAAAACAUGGAAUUCACAAGUCGUUGAUAGGUGGCACCAGCGUUUUUAAAACCAAAUGGCAUUACUCUAUAGCAGUAAAGAUCUCGGUUAGUUAUAAACGAGGUAUGUUCUUGAUCUGGGCCGUACAUUGGUAUCUGGUUAUAUUCGAAGUACGCAAACAUGAAGCUGAGUAGUUAGUGUUCCACAGUGGCGUCCACCUUUUGAUAUAUUUUUGGUAAAGAAAAACUAUCUUUAGGACAUGUUUUGUUGAGAUCGGUGAAAUCUAUGCAUACCCUCCAAUCUCCAUUGUAUUUUUUCAUAAGGGCAAGAUUUGCAACCCACUUUGGGUAUUUUUCCUCACGAAGGAAACUGUUGUGCAAUAGUUUUUGCACCUCCUUGUUGAGUGUUUUAUAUCUUUCAGGGUUCAGAGGUCGUCAUUUUUACUGCUACGGCCGAAUUGAAGGAUCCCUCUGUAAUUUGUGGCAGGCGAUUUUGGAAUCUAUCCCUCUCAUGUCCCCCUGAUUCUAGGCAAAGACAUCAAGGUUUUGUCUAAGAAAGGCCACAAUUUCGCUUCGGGUGAAGGGCUGCAGCUCGCCCCCGACUUUGAGUUCUUUUGAUGGGUCAUCGACACAAAUUUGAACUCCCUCUAGCUCUUCGACGGGUUCUCCACCUUCGACCUUGGUCCGCAGAUCUAAUGGAAUGAGCUUGAAUUCCCAUUUAUUAGCCAUAUGUACUCCCGAGGGGGUAUGUUGAUGGCAGUGUAGGGUUUCAAUUAACAUCUUUCGAAGAGAUUCCUGUUUCCUUUGAUUUCACCCACACCAUGGGAUGUAGAGAAUUUGAUUGAAUAGUGGUACAGAGACAUUGCUGCUCUCAGGGUAAAUAGUAGGGGCUGUCCCAUUACAGCAUCAUAAGACGAUGGAGUGUCGAAUACUACGAACUCGGAGUUCGUCUUCACUUGCCGAGGUGCUAAUCCUGACUCGACUUUGAGUUUGAUCAAUCCUUUGGCAGAAGUCAGGACUCCACUUAGUCCAAGGACCAUAUUUGAGUACGAUCACAGGAAGUUAGUAGAGAUACCCAUCCAUUUGAGAGUGUUUCUGAAGAGGAUGUUUAGAGCACUCACCGUAUCCACUAAGACUUUGGAGAUGAUUACCCCAGCUAUAUGCAACGAGAUUACUAGAACUUCGGGAUAAAGAUGUGGAUCCGCCUCUUUUUCGUCAAAGGAUAAUUGCUCAUAUGUGGCUUUCUUGAGGUGCUUCUCUGUUAUGCCGAUCUUAGAGAGAUCCACAACAAUUGGACCCUUCAGUCUGGCUUCCCCGGCUUGCUUGUUCACCCUAUCCCUUAGUAUGUUGACUUGUGGCUUUGGCAGGUCGAUAUUGGAUACCCUUGCUCCAGCUUAAUCCCCUCGAAUUAUUGCAGUCCCGUAAGGAGUGCGGAAUUUCAUACAAUAAUGAUAAAUUGAUGUAGCAGCUUUUAGCUCGUGCAAAAUGGGUCGCGCUAAUAUUGCGUUAUAGUUGAAUGGCAGAUCGACUACCACGAAAUCUGCUAAGAUCCUUCUUUGGUGAGGAGCUUCGCCUAGCUCUACAACAAGGAUGAUCUUACCUCGGGCUUCAAUAGGAUCUCCGGAGAAUCCCUGUAGUUUACUUGAGUACGUUGAAGAUAGCGCUCCGAUAUUUCCAACUGCCUCAAAGUUCGUGAGUACAGUAUGUUGAUCGAACUUUUGUUGUCUACCAAUGUCCAGUGAACUUUUACUCCGGCAACUGGCAUUGUGACCAUUAGGGCGUCUCUUUGGUCUUGGAGGAUUCCGUGAGAAUCUUGCUCCGUGAACCAGAACCAUUCCGAGUCUAUCCCGAUCCAUGGGGUUUGAUCCCAGUAGUUCGGCAUGAUCCUUGCACUUCGGGCUUAUCUUCGUCUCACCCUCCUAGAUCCCUCAAUAUACUGAUUUUCUCCAAUCAUCAUUUUGAUUUCGACGCAUGGGGGGUAAAUUACGAUUAGGGACUGUCUGCUGAGCUCGUUCGGAAGGCCCAUGUAGCAGCGAUUGCUGCGUCGUAGGUCGAUCUCCCUCUUUCGGUUUGGCAACAAACUCCUGUAACCGACCUCUGCGAAUCAAGGACUCAACUUCCUUCUUUAAUUCCCGAUAGUUAUCAAUGUCAUGACCCACCAUCCUGUGUAUCGACAGUAUCGUCCCUGUUGGUGUUCUUCCUGCCCGUUCUUCUGGAUCAUAGGCCUACGAAAUGCCUCUUUUUCAUUAGUUUGUGUGAAUACUUCUUCCAAGGAGGCUUUGAGUGAGUGGUAUUCCCAAAAUAUGUAUGGCUGAGCCUUAGGAUGUUCUCUUUCUGUCCUAUACUUCUUUCUUUUGGGCUAAGGACUACAACUUAUUUUUUUCUCUUUCACCGUAUUGUUGAGGUUAGGUUCGCAUCUGGCUUCUUCUUGGUCAGAGGUUGCUUCUUCAGCACUUAUGUAUGUCUCAGCUUGGUUCAAGAACUCGUGAUAAGUUCUUGAGCCGUCCUCGUAUAUUGACCACCAGAAUCUCGUUCUGGGCCUAGGUCCUGCUAAUACGGCCAUGAGUGCUACGUCAUCAGAUAUUUUUUCCACUUUCACGGAUUGCUUGUUGAAUAUGCUCAAAUAGCUUUUGAGGGAUUCGCUUCUUCCUUGUUUGAUGCUUGCUAGCCAUUCUUUGGGCGUGGUUCUGGCCUUGGAGCCCAUGAAUUGGGCCAAGAAUGUCGUGGCCAGAUCAUUCCAAUUUUUUACCGACCUCUAGUGCAAUCUCCUAAACCACCUCUAAGCUUUGUCUCCUAGGGUCAAGGGGAAUGCCAAGCACAUGAUGGUGCUGCUUGCUCCCUGCAGUUCUAUCCACAAGGUGUAUUUGUCAAGGUGGCUGAGGGGAUCACCAUCUCCUUCGUACGUGGCUAUCUGGGGGAUCUUCAAUUUUUCAGGUAAUGGAUCCAUAAGGACGUCCUCAGUAAAGGGGGAGUGUCGCUUAGUGAGAUAGUCUUUAGUGUCACCUUUGUUUUUAGCCUCCAAGUCAGCUAUGCGUCUUUUCAGCGCACUCAACUCGGGCUUUGUCUGCUCCAAAGGACAUUUAAGGUCGAGGUUGGUUUGUCCUCGCGUAGGGGUUAGCGAGUGCUGGGUCCCAGUCUGUCGAACACGCUGCAAGUCCUUUUUGCCCCGGGAUCCUUACUUUUGACUUCAUCAGUUCGACUUUUUGAGGACUCUCCUCUUGAAAAGUGAAGAGUCCUCCUGGUAGGGGGAUGUCUUGCUCGUGUCCUCACAGGAGAUUCUACCUCGAUAUCUGGUGGGGACAAGUGGGCUUGACUCCGUUCCAAUCGUCCCACUGCAUUUGUCAGUUUUUCUAGGGCUUCUCUCAUGACGGUCAUCUGAGGGUCUUGUCGUGGAGGACUUGGUGGAGUAUUCAUUUCAUGAGGGUGGGUGUGAGAUAGGUUUCUAGAACUUGAGCUAUGACUUAUGGCUCUCUGAUUUUGUGGGGAGAAUAAGGCUAUUUUCACAAUUGGGGCCCUCCUUCUAGCGCCAAACUAUUGACGUCAAAAUUAGCAAGGCUAAUCCUAAGUGAACUUUAAGAAAAAUGGGACUUUAUUGUUGAAAAAGACCAAAAAAUACGUUGAGAAAGUGUAAUGGUACCAUAAGCUUUUACAUGAAUUCGCUCUUUUUUUACAAGAGUUCUACUCAACUAUUUAUACAUAGUUUUAGCCGAAAUUAUAUCAAAUCAGUCAAACCAGCUACAGUUCCGAGCUCGGAACUCGGGUCGUCGAAUUCUCCUUUGAUUGGUCGACAAAAUCGGUGGCCAUGUGUCAAUGUUUUUCUCAGGUAAUGAUGACCUGCAAGAGACUUGAGGAUCAGAUCUUCGGAUUGGCGGUUGUGGGCAGUGUUGAAGUCACUUGUGGCAAGUGUAUAUGAUUGAUAGGGUGAUGUGAUAGGAAGUAAUCAUAAUAUUUUUCUGAGAUAACGGCGGGCGAUUCCAAGUUGGGAGCAGUGACCGAACUCACACCUACUUGAGGUGGAGUUAGCGAAUUGUUUUUGUUAGAUCGGAGUUCGGUUGUCAACAAGUGGUAUUAUUGUUGCUUUGGGUGCUAUCUUUGGGUGCUAAAGGACCAGUGUUCAAUUCUUAGAAUGCCUUUUUUUUUUUUUUUUUUUUUUUUUUUUUUUUUUUUUUUAGAUCGGAGUUCGGUUGUCAACAAGUGGUAUUAUUGUUGCUUUGGGUGCUAUCUUUGGGUGCUAAAGGACCAGUGUUCAAUUCUUAGAAUGCCUUUUUUUUUUUUUUUUGUUAUUCUUCUUGUGUUUCGUUUUUGGCUCUUUCUCUUUUUUAAUUUUUUGUGUCAAAUCCAUUGGACCUCAAAAAUGAUUGAAUAAAAUUAAUAUAGUUGUAUUCCAAUUUAUUUUUCUGUUCUUGUAAAAUUACAAAAGGUCAGCAAAAAAUAAAACAAAAAGAACAUAGAAAAAAUGAUGUCUUUGGAGAAUGCAAAAGUGAAAAUUUAUGGGCAUUCCAAGAACUGAACUCGGGACUUCUUGCACAUAAGUGAAGGUCAUACCACCAUGCCAAAAUGACCUUUACAGUAUUAUAUUUGAAAUACUUAAAUAUUUCAUGAAUGCAAAUGAAAACUGUGACUAUGAAUUCUUCCAUUCAGUGUAAUUCCUUAUCGUUCAUUAAUAAAGUAUUUAAUAAAUUUAUUUUUUUAGUCAUAGCGCUCAAUCUCGCUCUUAGUAGUAUCCUCAAUAUUUGUUAGCAUCUCAUCUUCGUGAUGGUAUUUGGUAAUCAGGGGCAGACCCAUUAAGAGUUUAGUGGGUGCAGUUACCCCCACUGAAUUUUCAAAUACCUUCGACUGAAUUUUUUUAAAUUUAAAUUUAAAUUUUCAGAUUUUUUUUGUUUCUUUCAUAAUUUAUUUUAGCUCAUUUUCUGUUUUGCCCCCAACGAAUCAUAAUCCUGAGUCCAUCACUCCUUAAUCUUAGACCCCGAUUGCGUCAUAACUCGAAAUAAUUAAGAACCUAGUUCAAUUUUUUAACUGAGAUGCAACUUCUAUAAGAUCACUCCACUCCAUCAAGCACAAAAAAUGUCUUCUAACUUUUGAAGAACAAAAGUUGCCAAGAACUUAUGCAAUCAAAGCUUCGAUAGCCGUCCUCUCUUUUUCCAAGAACAAAACGUAGGGCUGGAUUUUGGGAGUUCAAGGCUUCACUAUAUUCACUGAAGAUACUUUUGUGCAGUUCAGGCAUUAACCAUAAAUUCCAGCACCCUAUACUGUAUAUAUAAUCGAUUUUUGUUUCUUAAUAGCGCUUAUAAAGAAGCAAAUAAAGCUUCUCUCCAAUUCUGUGAAAAUUUAGUUGUAAUGCAAUUGAAAUAAUAUUCUUUACUCCAUAAGUCAAUUAUAAAGUAUGUGUGAUAAUAUUGAAAGGUAUAAAAGACAAGACAUAUAUGAAUAUAUGAUAAUUUCCCAAGUCACAUGAAUCAUAAUCAAUGCACAAAAUAUCUGACUCCACGCUAACAAACUGAAUCAACUAAUGCAUGACACGGAAAUUCCUUAAACUUUUUUAAAUUACUCACUAAAGGUUCAAAUUUGUUUAAUUGAAACAAAUAUGUUAAAAACAUAUUUUACAACAAUAAAUAAAUAUAAAUGUUAGAGUAUGGUUACGGAAUUCUAUUGGGCUCAGUCCGAAAAGCUCAUGGUGCGAAAUAUGUGGUUAAACCAAAAUUACAAAAUAAAUAAAUAGAAAUCUAAUUCUAUCAUCCAUUGUACUCAUUUUUGAUGUAAUGGAUAUCUCUUCUGACCUUGAUUUUUUUUUUUUUUGGUCUAGAAUUUUCUUGUAAAUUUGUGUAUUCUAGUUAUCAUUUUUCACUGUCUAUUCUCAUUUUUUUCAUAACAAAAAUUAAUUAUUGUAAUUACCGCAUCGUCAAGAAACCAAAGAGUAAUUUCAGUUCUUAAUAAAACAAAAUACAAUAAUAGAUAUGAUGGGACAAUAGAGUACGAUGCACAAUGAUUUUAGUUUUCUCACAGUACUACAUAAUCAAUGUGUACAAUCCACUUAAUUAACAAACAAUAUUAUAAGAAUAAUGUUUGUUGAAUAGCUUCAAUGACAAUACUUUAGACUAGGUUUUAAAAGGAUUUCGCUACAGCAACAGCGGGUUGACAUGAUUGAUGUAGCAUUGAACAUACGAAUUGUAGGAAAACGCAAUAUGUGAUGAUGGAGAGACAAAGCAAGGAUGGAGACAUAAAAUGUGGGAAACAAAAUGAAACCCUGAAAAACAAUUCCGACAACAGUGAAUCCCGAAAUGAUAAAUCCCUGCAUCCUUCGGCCAAAAUAGUUGAAUUCCGAAGUUAGCCGGCAUCAUCAUGUAUAUAUUAAUGUCUGAUCUAAUGCAUGACAUAGAGAAUUCAUUUGCUCAGAGAAUAGUAUGCAUAAUAUCAAAUGUUGAUCUCGUUUCUGGUUGGGGCCACACGGACAACAGAUACUGGAUCCACCCGCGCACACGUGAGCUAAAUCCAACACGCUAAGACAUACAAACGAUCUAGAACGCCCAGAGAAAGGGCGUGGGAGUAGCUUAAAAAUUCGGUGAUACAUUUAUAAAACGAUUGUACAAUAAUUACCAAUCGUAGAGGAUGAACACUAAGUAAACUUAGUUGUAUUUGUAAGACAGUAAAAUUGAACGAAUUGUUUUGUAUUCAAAAUUUCAUUAGCCUUACAAUGGUGACAUAGGAGAGUAUUUAUAGUAGUGCAAGGUGAAUUAUGGCCCUCGAAUGGGAAUACAUGUGGCCUCAUCUCCUUGAUCCAUACAUCUAAUCCUAGGUAUUAUUUUUGACUUGUUAGCCCACUUUACAUUUAUUAAGUAGCAGAACCUCGACUUUGUCUGAUAAGACUUAACACAAACUCUAUGAUAGACGUCCCAUCAAUCAUUUGAAGAAGACACUUGUGUAUGGACAGAUCUCUUGAAAGAAGUGAUAGUGAAGACGCUUAGGAAGCAUAGUUUCGACGCAUGGCUAUUUAAAUCUUAUCUAACUCUUUACCGGACUCUAAUUCAAUAUCCUCUUCUUCGACUAAUUCGUCCUCCAUGUCUUCCGAUACAAAUGGUUGCUUUAAAUUAAGCAAAAUGAAGAAAUUAGCCAUUGAUAAUUUUUUAACAACACAAAAUUAAAAAAAGGAUGAUAAUGCACGUCAAUGCGCGCAUAAUUGUGCCUAGGCACGCCUUAGCAAUCGUUGACUACUCAAGCCACUUGACUUGACGUUUUAACCGAGCAUCAUGCCUAGGUGGCGCCAAGGCGUGCAUUGACGUCGCCUUUUAGAACACUGUAAUUUUUCAAUAAAAUAAUUUUAUAAGUAAAUUCAAAAUUCAAUAUUUACAAACUUUAUUGUCAGAAAAAUAGGCAGUCUCAUGUGGCAAGUGUAACAACGUCUGUGAGUGGUGGUAGGACUUGGAAGUAUUAGUGUGGUCCAUAAUGAGCCCAUUAAUCUAUUCUCCUUUGAUUCCACCUCCAAGAAAAAGAAAGUUGGUGAAGCCAACAUGGUCCAUAACGAGCCCAUUAUUAACCCACAAGAUAAGGAAUGGAAAAUUACACCCACACCUGAUUUUUAAGUUUUCAAUUAAAAAAUGAAGUUUAAAAACUUUUUAUUCAAAAAUUAGGUGAUUAUUUAUUUUUAAAUAAUAAUAUUAAAUUAAAUUAAAUUAAUACCUACCUAUCACAGCCACUCAACUCAAUUAAAAUUUCAAACCCUAAUUCAUUUUCCUAACUAAACUCUCUCUAUCUUCACUCUUUUUAUCCAUCUCUCUUCACCCAUCUAAACUCUCUAUUCCAACGUCGGCACAGCUCCUCUGAAAAUGAUGCAACCAUCGAUCCUAUUCAUCAAGCACAGUGAAGCAGCAUCGCGGUGCGUAGCUGUGCUUUGCUGCAGUAGCAUCGUUGCUUUUGGCAUCGACGUCGCUUUUCUGACAGGAUGUGGCCGUCGAUCGACGCACAGUGAAGCGGUAUCGUUGUGCGUAGCAACACUUUGCUGCGAAAUAGAGAUCGAGUGUAGCUCUGCCUCAAGGUCGUCUUCUCCAGUUUGGAGUUUUAGGAGGUUUGUUGGUGUUUUGCAAAUGGUGGUGGUUUGCAGGUGAUGGUGAUGGUUGUGGUGGUUUUAGUAGCGAUAGUGCUGGCAAAGGUGAUGCAGUUGGUAGUGGUGGUGGUUCUGUAAUGGUUUCAGGUGGUGAGGUAGCGUUCAAGCAAGUGAUGGCAGUGGUUGUGGCUGCGAUCGUACCAAUGGGGAUGCUAUAGUUGGUGGCGAUGGUUUCAGGUCGUGGUGGUGAUUUUGGUAGUUGUUUUGGGUGGUGAUGUGGCAUUCUAUUAGUGGGUGUGCGGGCGUGGUUGAAUUUUGAGUGAUUGCAGCAAAUAUAUUAGUUAAUUUGUGACCAAUAAAUAAAUAUGUAACCUAAAAAAAUAUGAUGGUGACUCAUAAUUUAUUAAGUUGUUGAUAGUAGAUUGGAUCUGAUUGGGGCGAUUUUGUUGGUGGUGGUGUGGUUGUGAUUGUGGUGGCGACGACGAUGAUGAGUGAGGGUGAUCGCAAGUGGUCGUGAUAGCAGUGGUUGUGGUGAUAUUGUUGGCGGUGAUGAUAUGUUUUAUGUGACCAAUUAUUUGAUUUAUCGGUGACCAAUUAUUUAAUCACGUGACCUUAAAAUUUGAUAAUUUUGAAUAAAAAACAAUCUAUGACCAAAAAAUUUGAAAAUGUGUGACUGAUAGAUGAGUUUUGAAUUAUAUUUUUUUAUUCAUGACCAAUGAAAUAAACUUUGAGCCAUAAAACUUUUAAUUUGCGACCUCGAAAUAAUCUAUGAUUUACAAAAUUUUUGAUUUGUGACCUCGAAAUAAUCUAUGAUUUACAAAAUUUUUGAUUAGUUCAGAAAGAAAGAUCAUGCCGCUAAGAAAGGUGCAUUGAGGUCUGUCUUCCUAAUCAUAAGAAUCUAGACGCCCUGAUUUGAUACUUUAUGGCUUUUGGGCCACCCACGACAAAUAUACAAAAAAUUAUUCAAUCACUCAAAAAGCAAGGAAGAGCUUCUCCGUUCUAACUGUAUUUGCUUGAAAGAAGUGAAAGCACAAAUCUUUGAGAUGAUUUGAGUAAGCUUUGUUUUGAAAAUACCAAAAAUUCAAAAGCAAUUGAAAAUGCACAUUAUACAAGACCGAUCCAAGAUUAGCAAAUCCUUAAAUCUCACAUGUUAAAUAAAACAAAGAAGUAGAAAAAUUAAGGGGGUGUUCUCUUUGUGUUUCAGUUUUGUGUUUUGAGUUUUGAAUUCAUUUUGAGUUUUGUAUUUUGAGUUUUUGUUUUGAAAUUCUUGAAAAUACGUUCUUUUUGUUAGUUUCUCAAAACAAAAAAAAAUAAUUUUUUUUUAAAAAUUUUGAGAAUCACCACAACACCACUUCAAAAUACCAAAAAAAAAAAUUAAAUUUUUUUUUUUUUAAAUUUUGAGAAUCACCACACUAUCUCCUCAAAAAAAAAAAUUUUUUAAUUUUUUAUUUUUUUUGAAAUUUUGAGAAUCACCACACCACCUCCUCAAAAAAAAAAAAAAAAAAAGUGUUUCCCGCGUUUUCAAUUUUUUCAAGUUUUACACUGAAAACGCCGAAAACGACAAAAAAGUCGUUUUGUGUUUUCUUCACAAUUUUUUUUCGUUUUCGAAAACGUUUUCGAAAAUUCGUUUUCGAAAACGGGAAAGAGAACACGUUUUCACCGUUUUGAAAAAUCGAAAACAGAAAACGACCCGAAAACGGUAAAGAGAACAGGGCCUAAUUAUUCACGAAAAUGUUCAGCUCUUCCUAUGUUCAUCAUUGAACAACAGUCUUAACCCUUGUUUGAUCCCCAUUUUGGGAAAAAUAAUGCAUUUUGAAUGGUAGAUUAAGGAAGAAUGUGUGGUUAAAAAUUAAAGGAAAGUUUUGAAUUUGUGUGUAAUAUUAUUUUAUUGAAGAAUGUGUGGUUAAAAACGAGUUUUGAAAAAAAUGAAUUUUUAAAAGAAUGAAAAUCAAACAAGGGCUUAAUUUUCAUAUUAGAGAUUCUAAAUUUUCUUGAAAAUAUCUAACUUGUUAAAAAAUGUGACAAUUCCAACUACAUUACAGUUAUCUUCAAUAACCCAAACAUAAUUCGCUCGAUGUACAAUAGCCUUUACAAUCACUGCCACCAAUCAACUUCCCGGAUGGCACGAUAUUGCCUCACCAUUUGUGACGAGUAGUUGUUCGAUCUGCUAUAUCGCCCUAACUUCGACAUCAUUGUUGUCCUUGAGGAUGGCAUGCAAUUGAUUUGUCCAACGUUUUUUUUUCUAAAUUUAUAUCCUUCAAUCUACCUCAACGUCCCUGGAGAUUUAUUCUGGGGGACUUCUAGAGUCAAUGUAGGCCAUAAGGUCUCAGUCGAGAGGAUGGCGAUGUCGGCUGUGCACGAAGAGAUCUCACCAAUCAAAAUCCAAUCAUCAUUAACCACUGCCACUGAAGUUUGAUCCACGAGAGUGAGAAAUGGCCCCCACAGCCAUUUUGGACGGUUUCCAUCCAUAAUUUCGUCAGUUGACUAAAAAUUUAAUUUUGACCACAUUUUUAAUAUUUUAAAAGGGACAAAAGAGUAACCUUCUAUUUAUCAAGUUAAAUAAUUAAAUUAAAAGUAAGAAAUAAAAAACACACACGCACCCCUCAUUUUCUUCCUCUCACCUCUUAACCACCCCAUGUCAAACACAAAAUCCACUCCGACUAUCGCCACCAAAACUGAUACAACAUUCAUUACCAACCACCAGGGAAUGAUAGAGCUCGUGAUAUCAUAUUUUGUGGUUUCGUUAAUUUUCCUCAUUUAUUUUUUCCCUCUUAUCUAAUGUGCAGUCGCCGAGGGACAUUCAGGUGGACCGGAGGGUGCCUCUAAUAAAAAAUCUUGCUUAAUGUAUAGCAAAAUUUCUUUUUACUCCAUCAUAUAUACCCAAUUUCAAAAUUUAGCUGGACAACUUGAUGGCUUCUAAAUGAUGAAUAUUAUCCAAAAGCUAAAGGAUAUGUUUUAAAAGGCUACUGAGACAUUUUUCCUUUGCGGUUUGAGGAGUACGCCUUUGCACAAAUAAAAAAUUUAUGUCAAAAUUGGAAAAAUCGAUACAGAAUUUAGGAGUAGUACUCUUGAUUGAGGUGGAGGUGGUUGGUGUGGAUUUUGGGUUUGAGUUGGGAGUGGGGUGGAUGAGGGGUGAGAGGAAAAAGAUGAGGGUGUUCUGGGUGUGUGUGUUUUUAUCUCUUAUUUCUUAUUUUUUAAUUUAAUUAUUUAAUUUGAUAAAUGGAAAAUUACUCUUUUGUUCAUUUUUAAAUUAUUAAAAAUGUCGUCAAAGUUAAAUUUUUGGUUAAUUGACGGAGUUGAUGAUGGAAAUCGUUCUAGAGGGCUUCACCUGCAACGUUUGAAAAUGUUAGGGGUGACGACUAUAACAAAUAAAAAUUUUGAAGAAUAUCUACUAAUGUUUCAAAGAUUUGAAACUUCUGCUACAAUUAUCCCAUAAAACUAUUACUCCCAAGAAAUCCAAAAGAUAGAAAUGAGAGAGAGAGAGAGAGAGAGAGAGAGAGAGAGAGAGUUUGUAUGAGUUAUCCAAUAUCUAAAAGAGGGUUCCACGUGCCUAAUUAGCCCCUUAACUUUUGACAGCAAAACAGAAACAUGAUAUUGAAGGACAAACGAGCUACCAUGCAAAUUCAGACCAAAAAAUUGUAACCUUAUUAUGUUAAAGACUGAAGAAGAAAUGAACAAUACGGGUGUGUCUGUGUGUUGCACUAGUGGUUUUAUCCUUUUAUAUGGAAAAAUCAAUACAAAGUUACAUAAUGGUUUACAUACAGUUGAGGUAUCAAAGAGGUAUCAAAAGAAGAUCAAGAAGGUUUUUUUUUUUUUUUUUUUUUUUUUUUUUUGUUGUUGAAGAAAUUUUGAUCAAAUUAUAAUCUUACUACAUCAUGUGUAUAUAAAUUAUUAUGUAAAUCAUUAGUAUAUAAGAAAAGUUUUUAGGAUAAUGAUAUGUGUACAUCGAGGUUGAAAUCACCUCACAUGGAAGUGGGGCUUGCGAGUAAUAUUGUUGAUGGUUCUAUUGGUGAUGUGUAGGCAGCGAAGCUUCUAUUAUUAGUGGUGCACGUGGUCAUAUUGAGAUGGGAUGCGUUUAGUUCCUGAUGUUGUUAAGAUUGGUGGUAGUGACAAAGUGGUAGUGGUGGCGACAACCAGGCUUGAUCAAGUUUAUCUUCAUUGUGACUAUCUAUGAUCAGAUCUAUAUUAAUUGUGACUAUAAGUGACUUGGUGACAUAUAGUUACAAAUUAGACGAACUUGGUUGUAUUGUCCUAUCUCACUUAGCCCUUGUUUGGCAGUGACUAAAAUUAGAUUUUUAGUAGAUUUUGAUAAAAAUUGAUGAAAUGUGAAAAGUUGUGAGGCUCAUAAAAUAUAUUGUUAAAAUUAAUUUUAAUUUUAUUAUAUCAAAAUCUAAAUUUUUAUUAAUAUGGUAAUUUUUUGUUGUCUCAUUAAUCAUAUAAUAAACUGUCAUAUGCAUACUACGUAUAGCAACUACUGGUAGCUCUCACUAUGAAUAGCAUUAAUUAAGAUACCUAUUUUUUUUACUCCCCCACCACCCCGCAAACUUAGAACAUAAUAUUUUGCAUUAAGCAUGCAUAGUCUUCGACAUUAUAUUGAGAAUCAAUUAACUUUGAUUCAUUAUAACGACGAAAAUAUGUAAUAUCUGGAUUUUUGUAAGUUUAUUCAUAAAUUAUAUAUGGAGACCUAACACAAAUCAAUAAAGAUAAAUGCAAUCUAGUCAAAGAAAAACUUCAAUGAAACUAACUUAUAUGUGUACAUAGUAGGACACUUCAUUUAAAUCACGAUAUUUUGAAUUUUGAACUAUUCAAAAUGUACUACUUUUGCGUCCGAGGUAGUAAAAGAGAAACAAAGUGUGUGUGAUUACAAGGAUGUCAUAGUUAGAUAAUUUGAAAAUUAAAUAUCGUGAUAUGAAUAAGCGAUUUAUAUUAUGUGCAUAUUCUUCACUGAUAAAAACUUCUCUAUCGAGCUAUAUAUAUAUAUAACACCAAAUGGACCGUUAAAGGACCCAUUUGGAUUCUUGAAAAUAGUAAAUUGAUCAUUUUUUAACUGUUUAAAUUGGGAAGGAAAUUCAGAGUCUGUUUGGAAAUGAUUUUGAAAAUUGAUUUUUUGAUCGUUAGGAAAAAUGUGGGGGCCACAUGUGAGUCAAAAGUUACGGUUGGAAUGGUGAAAUAACGGUUAAAAAAAUCAAUUUUUGGGGGGUGAACAAUCACUCCCAAACGGGACCCCGGUCUCUUACUGAGAUUCCGUAAAUGACUUGCCAUGCAGUUAAGCUUCAAUAGUCGCCCUCCCUUUUCCUAGAGUAAAUCGUAUGGUUGGGUUUGCAAGUUCGAGGCUUCAGUAUAUUCACUGAGGAAACUUUUGUGCAGUCCAGCAUUAACUUCGAGUACCCUAUACUAUAUAUAUAAUCGAUUUUUGUUUCUUUAUAGCGUCUAUAAAGAAAUAAGGAAAGUUUCUCCCCUAUUACGAGAAAUUUGGUUAUGAUGCAAUUCAAAUAGUAUUCUUUAUUCCAGGAGUCAAUUAUAAAGUAUAUGUGCUAAUAUUGAAAGGUAUGAAGGCAAGAUAUAUAGUCAACAUAUAUGAUAUAUGAUUAGUUCCUAAGUCACAUGAAUCAUAAUCAAUGUUGGAAUAAAUUUCCCACGAGACCGAUUUUUCUCGUUAAAACAAAUAUAAAGUAGGCGAGGAGAGAAAAUAUUUAAAGGGUUCUCGCAUGGCAUUUACGAGCCAUUUCCCUUUCAAUAAGAAACUGUUAGACAUGUUUGCUAGAUGAAUAAAAGGUGAUACCAUAAUGGAAUUAAUUAUAAGUUAACCAAUAAAAGACAGUCAUCUAUCAUUUCUCUUUAAAUGAGCAAACUACCACAAAACCUCAAGAAAAAUCUAUAAAUAUUCCCGCCCAAGACAAAAGAUGCAUGUAUCCAAAUAUCUCAAUCUCAAAUAGUCAUUUCUCUUCUUGCUUUGAUUUGAGCAUUAUGAUUAGUGAGUUUAGAAGGACAAAAGACCAUUAGGUGAGGGGAGUUGUUGAUCCGAUUUCAAUCAUCAACAAUCAAUACACAAACUAUUUGACUUGACACGAACCAAUUGAAUCAACUAAUGAAUCACACUAAAUUUCCUUAAACUUAUCCAAAUUACUCACUAACAAAGGUUCAAAUUUGUUUAAUUGAUAAAAACAUAUUUUACCAACUAUAAAUAAAUAUAAUUGUUAAGUGAAAAACACUUAUUGCCCAGGCUCAAAGCCAGGGCUAAAAACAGGGGGGCCAAGUGGCGCCCCUCCAAAUAUAAUUGUUAAGUGAAAAACACUUAUUGCCCAGGCUCAAAGCCAGGGCUAAAAACAGGGGGGCCAAGUGGCGCCCCUCGGCGUGCAGCAAUGCUCUUGUUAAGUAUGGAUACUCAAAUCCUAUUUUACCAGUCAUUCAUUGUACUCAUUUUUUUAUGUAACUGUCUCCUCCUCUGUUUGUGAUUUUUUUCAUCUAAGAGUUUCAUGUAAAUCUGUGUGUUCUUGUUAUUAUUUUCUAUUGUCUAUCCUCCCUUUUUUGUAACAAUAAUAUUAAUAUUUUUUUUUUCAAAUGUCUUUUUCAUUGCAUCAGUACAUAGUAAAAACAAUUAAUUAUCGCAUCAACCACCAAACAACCAAAGAGUAUAUAAUUUCAGUUAGGUUUUGCUAUUUUGUACAUUGGGGUGCCCCGAUAUAAAGCUCCUCACAAUGGGGGAGCCCAUAUUUAAUUAAAAAAAUCACCCCCAAAUUGAAGGGGGCUAUAUGCCGGGGUGUCACGUAGCAAAACCCAUUUCAGUUUCUUAAUGAAACAAAAUGCAAUAAUAGAGUACAAUGCUCUAUGAUUUUAGUUUUCUAACAGUACUGCCAAAUCUGUGUUGUACAAUCCACUUACUUAACAAACAAUAUUAUUAAGAUUUAUUCGUUAUUCCAAUAACUCAUAUAUAACAUACCAUUACAAAGGAGCAAAGCUAAAAGAUUUCAUUAUAAUUAUAUAUAUGAACUCCUUUGGCAUUACUAAUUAUCAAUAAGCUCUCGCACACUUCGGGGCAUAGGUGCAGCCAUAUCGGUGAAGGCAAGCGAUCUGGCGAUGAUUACACUUGUAGUAAUUUGAACAUUUGUUGCAUGGAAUGAGAUUACUGUAGUGCAAGAUAUGUGGUUUCUUGCGGGUGGAUUCAGACCCCAACUUCAUCUCCUCAUCAACGUCAACGAAAUGCCCACUAUUUUUAGACUCGAGGUCAACAGAAUUUGUAUUGUCAUGUCCUGAUGAUGGUUGUAUCAACAUAACCAAGCAUAGGAGAAAAAGAAAAAGUAACACCAGACGUGAAAUCAUUUUGUGAGAGUCAAUAGUGACAUACACAACAAAGAUAAAAAAGAAGGAAAUUUGAUGAGGAGAUGAAGUUGUGAGAGUCCCCUAUCUAUAUAUAGGGGACUUUGUGGAGGCAUAGCUCAUGGGAAGAGGAGACAACGUG